rnacentral:rRNA from 1 species
GGGACAACAGUUGGAAACGACUGCUAAUACCGCAUAAGCCCACGACCCGGCAUCGGGAAGAGGGAAAAGGAGCAAUCCGCUUUGAGAUGGCCUCGCGUCCGAUUAGCUGGUUGGUGAGGUAACGGCCCACCAAGGCGACGAUCGGUAGCCGGACUGAGAGGUUGAACGGCCACAUUGGGACUGAGACACGGCCCAGACUCCUACGGGAGGCAGCAGUGGGGAAUAUUGCACAAUGGGGGAAACCCUGAUGCAGCGACGCCGCGUGGAGGAAGAAGGUCUUCGGAUUGUAAACUCCUGUUGUUGAGGAAGAUAAUGACGGUACUCAACAAGGAAGUGACGGCUAACUACGUGCCAGCAGCCGCGGUAAAACGUAGGUCACAAGCGUUGUCCGGAAUUACUGGGUGUAAAGGGAGCGCAGGCGGGCGAUCAAGUUGGAAGUGAAAUCCAUGGGCUCAACCCAUGAACUGCUUUCAAAACUGGUCGUCUUGAGUAGUGCAGAGGUAGGCGGAAUUCCCGGUGUAGCGGUGGAAUGCGUAGAUAUCGGGAGGAACACCAGUGGCGAAGGCGGCCUACUGGGCACCAACUGACGCUGAGGCUCGAAAGUGUGGGUAGCAAACAGGAUUAGAUACCCUGGUAGUCCACACCGUAAACG